rnacentral:rRNA from 1 species
AUUGAACGCUGGCGGCAGGCUUAACACAUGCAAGUCGAGCGAGCGGCGGACGGGUGAGUAAUGUCUGGGAAACUGCCUGAUGGAGGGGGAUAACUACUGGAAACGGUAGCUAAUACCGCAUACCAUCAGAUGUGCCCAGAUGGGAUUAGCUAGUAGGUGGGGUAAUGGCUCACCUAGGCGACGAUCCCUAGCUGGUCUGAGAGGAUGACCGGCAACACGGGAACUGGAACACGGUCCAGACUCCUACGGGAGGCAGCAGAGGGGAAUAUUGCAAAAUGGGCGCAAGCUUGCUGCAGCCAUGCGGCGUGGGUGAAGAGGGCCUUCGGUUUGUAAAGCACUUUCAUCGAGGAGGCGUUACUCGCAGAAGAAGCACCGGCUAACUCCGUGCCAGCAGCCGCGGUAAUAC